AACCUAAGCCCCGCUCAUGCGGGGCAUGGUCUAAAAUCUCACGACGAUACUAAACCCUACGUUUAGCAACUCGUCGUGAGUCAUUUCCCGAAAGGGGCAUGUAGCCGCAAGGCUU
rnacentral:sRNA from 12 species